GGGUGCCAGAAGUCAGGCUAAACAAAGGUAAGCCAAAGUCAGAGGAUGCAAGAAGUCAGGCUAAACAAAGGUAAGCCAAAGUCAGAGGAUGCCAGAAGUCAGGAUGCAUGAUACAAAAGCCAAGGUCAGGAGCCAACUGGAGAACACUGAUCACAACUACAAACACAGGAACCAGAGUCAAUGAACGGACACUGCCCUCAGGGAGAGGCAAACUCAGGUGGACCAUGAGUAACAGAAGC